GAGUUACAUACAUUCUUCAAUGUCGAACUGUAGUCACGGUGGUACCGAUAGUAUCUCCAGGCAUGAUGCUUAUAGAAUGAGGUCAGCAUCCUUCAAGAUCAGGACAAGUCACCUUAUCUCUCUAUCCCAUGAGUACUUAGGCCUGAGGCAUAUUAAGAUUGAGGAGUGUAAGUCUCAUACUUUCGAGGUGGAGUUCAGGACCAACAGUUCUGAUGAGGUGUCCUAGAUUAAUUAGUA
rnacentral:lncRNA from 1 species